ensembl:lncRNA
AAGGGAUUGCAAAACUGCUUUCAUUCCCCUUUAACUCCUGAAAAAAUAUAAUCAUGCAAGUCUGUAGAUCAAAAUGAUUGCUAAAUUAAUCCCCAUAUUCUAAGUCUUGCCUCUCUGAGGAUUUCAUCAUAGGAUGACAGAAUAUUUGUUUUAACAAGAUAAAGGUGACAAAUAACUUAAAAUGUGUUAGAAAAGCUCCCUAAUUUGGAAAAAGAAUGUCAGGUAUAAGUUGGUAAUGAUCAGCAGUGAGCUGUAGAGCUUGAUAGACACUUAUCUGAGCCAAUCCUCAGUCCUUCCAUUGGCCCUUGUGACUGUAUCCUAACCCAUUUUCCUCCAUAGCAUUUCUUUUCCCCAUGAUCGUCCCAUAGAAUUCACCUAUAGAUUGCAAUUCUCUCUCACCAUGCUAAGUUUAUCUUUCUUACUACCAAUUCUUUCUAGGCUUCAUGAUUUCUUUCCUAACGUCUUCUGAUUCGACUUUGAGACAACCCAGCACUCUGGAAUCUUUGCUGCAACUUCUCCAAUGAACAGAUGUUCCUUUCCAUCCUCUUAACAACGUAAAGUGCUCGUGUUUUCAACUUUCCUUCUUCAACUCAGUCUGGGACUAAGUCUGUCCUUUCUAGGUUCUCUAGUUAAAGAGCCUUGGCUCCAGGUAAAUAGAAUUCUCAGGGGAAAUCAAAUAGCCAGUUUUCCCUCUGCUGUAGAAAUGUUUCUCAAAUUAAUGAAAAUGACAGGACACAAUCCUUCUCUGGAUUCCUUAUCGUGGGGUCUCCUUUGGAUUUCUCCUAAAGAUGUCUCCUUGAGCAUUACUUCCGAUUCUGGGCUGCAGGAAAAUCUGGUCCAUGUUUUUGGCUCCUAAUAAACGUCUUGAGGUUUCUACCCAAACAUAUCGGAAUAAGUGGUUGCAGGCAAGCAAAGCAUAUGAUGGUGCCCCUGUGGUUUUCAGAUGGCUCAGCAGAUGUAUUUGGUUCAAGAUUGGAGGGGGAGUGGCAGACAUACAGUUUGGCCAGUGAGGCUCCAUCAUUUCUUUCCUAAUGUCUUCUGAUUCAACUUUGAGACAACCCAGCACUCUGGAAUCUUUGCUGCAAUUUCUCCAAUGAACAGAUGUUCCUUUCCAUCCUCUUAACAAUGUAAAAUGCUCCUAUUUUCAGCUUUCCUCCUUCAACUCAUUCUAGGGACUAACUCUGUCUUUUCCAGGUUCUCAACUUAAAGGGUCUUGCCUCCAGGAAAAUAGAAUUCUCAGGGGAAAUCAAAAGGCUAGUUCUCCCCCUGCUGUAGUAUUUCUCACAUCAAUUGAAAUGACAGGAAACAAUCUUUCUCCAGAUUCCAUAUCUUGGGGGCUCCUUUGGAUUUCUCCAUAAUAUGUCUCCUUGAGCAUUUCUUAAGAUUUUGGCAGCAGGAGAAUCUGGUCCAGGCUUUUGGCUCCUAGGAAACAUCUUGAGGUAAAUCUUCACUUUCAUAGGUUUUCAUCUCUUCACCCCCACGCCAGAACUGGGGGGGCGGGGUAAAAUCCAAGGCGUUCCUAGAAAUGUCUUAGGAGUUUCCCAGGUGGGGAAUUCCUUUCUCUAUUAGUGAUCAUGUGCCAAUGAUGAUCAGAAAUAAUGUGCACAAAACCAUUAGUUCUCUCUAAUUCAAAAGGAAAAUUAGUUCUCAUCAUUCCCUGGACUUUUCAAACAAAAACUUAUCUAUUAGAAUGGUUGCACUCUGGAAAUUGACCUUCACAAUGUCUGAAAUCAGGUUAUAGUUGAUGAUGCUUUUCUUUUUUCAAAAACUCAAACCCCUAAUAUUUCCUCUCCAAAAACAAAACUUAGGGUUACUAAGGAAAAGGUUCAAAAUAACUCUAACUAGGAACACCUCUACUAUUCCUUCUCUUUUUCUUUUUUUACUCUAAUUUGCUUUCGGCGGCCAAUUUGCCUUUCUCUUCG